rnacentral:lncRNA from 1 species
UGGAGGGAGAAGAAGAAGGAGGACGAGGAGGAGGAGGAGGAGGACGGGGAGGAGGAGGAGGAGGAGAGAGCGGAGUAUACCGCAGACAUCAUUUCUACUACAGUGGCGGAGCCGUCCAGGACCUGUUUCACUGCAGGGGGACCACAAAACAAGCCCCGCGGAGCAGCCGCCGGAGCUACAGCAGCCGCAAGACACUGUUUCUCUCCCUCUGCCCCCCCUUCCCCACGCAACCCCAGAUCCAUUUACACUUUACAGAGCAUCGUGCAGCAGCCAGUCCCCAGGGUGGUCCGUUCAAGCUGCGGAUUUGUUUGCCAUCACUCUAAGACAAUCUCCUCCUCCACGGCCACUCCAGGGAAGUGCAUCAGAAAUCAGCAUACUGGAGCAAAAUGAAAGAAUUUGUUCUGAGGCCUCAAAAGUAGUGCUGCUACGGACCAUGAGCAAGAAAGGGUGGACUUCAGCCUGCACGGAUGGUCUUGAAACACAAAUAGUUGUGGGUCUAGGCAUUUUACAUUGAGUUUCUCUACUGCCACCCCUUCUACUCAAGCAAAAUCUGUGUGGAGAGAUCCGCUGGGAAGGAACUGACUGCUUAUGUUUCUCCAUUGUGAUGAAAGCACAUGGUACAGGUAAAUAUCUCCAAAAUCUUUAACCAAAAAUAACUCUCACUUAGUGUAACAUUCCCAAGGUAGUGAUGGGGAUGUAUCUGUAUCUAUU